ACAUCACACACAGAUGUGACGGUCAGGCUGCAGACUCUACGCAGAUAAUACAGCUUUAUACACUGACAUUAAAACGCCCAAAAUACAUAGGAGUCAUAGUACCACUAAUCAGGAGGUCAAGAAGGACUCAUAGUUCCACUCAUCAGGAGGUCUAGAAGGAGUCAUAGUUCCACUAAUCAGGAGGUCUAGAAGGAGUCAUAGUUCCACUAAUCAGGAGGUCUAGAAGGUGUCAUAGUUCCACUCAUCAGGAGGUCUAGAAGGAGUCAUAGUAGCACUCAUCAGGAGGUCUAGAAGGAGUCAUAGUACCACUAAUCAGGAGGUCUAGAAGGAGUCAUAGUACCACUAAUCAGGAGGUCUAGAAGGAGUCAUAGUACCACUAAUCAGGAGGUCCAGAAGGAGUCAUAGUUCCACUAAUCAGGAGGUCUAGAAGGAGUCAUAGUACCACUAAUCAGGAGGUCUAGAAGGAGUCAUAGUACCACUAAUCAGGAGGUCUAGAAGGAGUCAUAGUUCCACUAAUCAGGAGGUCUAGAAGGAGUCAUAGUACCACUAAUCAGGAGGUCUAGAAGGAGUCAUAGUUCCACUAAUCAGGAGGUCUAGAAGGAGUCAUAGUUCCACUAAUCAGGGGGUCUAGAAGGAGUCAUAGUUCCACUAAUCAGGAGGUCUAGAAGGAGUCAUAGUUCCACUAAUCAGGGGGUCUAGAAGGAGUCAUAGUUCCACUAAUCAGGAGGUCUAGAAGGAGUCAUAGUUCCACUAAUCAGGGGGUCUAGAAGGAGACAUAGUAGCACUAAUCAGAACUUCCAGAUGAAAGUUUGCUGAUGAACAGGAGAAGAAGCCUGAUUUCUUUGGUCAGAUGAAGAUCAAUGAGUUGGGCUCAGAUGGAGUCCAGAUGUUUGGUAAGAACCUGACCAGGACUACCACAGUGGAUGCAUGGUCCUGACAGUGAAGCAGGAGGUGGGAGUGUGAUGGUAUCCUCGUAAAUACUCUAUUUAAAGGUAAUCUGAUUACUGUGAGGUCCAACAUUUUAAGAUCAUUUUAGUCUGAGGUGAUGUUUCUCUGUUGUUGGUUCUUUGUUCUCAGUUAUCUCAGUA